rnacentral:rRNA from 1 species
UACGUAGGGUGCGAGCGUUGUCCGGAAUUACUGGGCGUAAAGAGCUCGUAGGCGGUUUGUCGCGUUGUUCGUGAAAACUCACAGCUUAACUGUGGGCGUGCGGGCGAUACGGGCAGACUGGAGUACUGCAGGGGAGACUGGAAUUCCUGGUGUAGCGGUGGAAUGCGCAGAUAUCAGGAGGAACACCGGUGGCGAAGGCGGGUCUCUGGGCAGUAACUGACGCUGAGGCGCGAAAGCGUGGGGAGCAAACAGG